AAAAAGUAUAGCUCUCUACUAUUCAUAUCCAAUGUUUAACCGUUCAUUUUAUUUAAAGUUUUUUUUAUGAUUAGUAUUUUUAUUUUCAUCAAACAUGAAUAGUACUUUGUGAUUAUUUUUUUAAUUUUUUCAUAAAUUUUUUAAAUACGAUGAACGGUUAAACGUUGGACAUUGAGUAUCUACGACUGCGCUUAAA
rnacentral:pre_miRNA from 1 species